AAAUUCUAAAUCAUGGACACCUUUAAGUAUCUUAGGCCUGCCUGGUGGUCGAUAUGUUUGGUCCUGUUGCUGAUUUUACAAGUUGGAAGAGGAGCCACUGGCCGUACGACUUUUUGGGGCCAGGAAGGCCUACCUAAAUUAGCUGAAUGUGCGCUGGAUCUGUCUAAAAAAGCUUUAAAACCGUAGACAUACCAAAUGGUAGUUAUAAGAUUCAACGUUUCAUUGCUUUGGCAACAAAUCAACGAACACGAAGAAUAAUAAGCCUGCAUUAAAUAUAAAUCUCACAAUGCUAUCAACAGAACGCAGGAGACAACAAAUGUUUAAUGCUGACCCCGACAGUACUGCGGCAACAAGGCGCUCGGGCGCUCAGGCGUCCAGACAUCCCAUCACUCGACCAACUCACAACAGGUGGUACAUGUUGAUGUUGCUCCUACUCAACGACCAAGUGGGCUCCCAUUUGAGUGGGCAGUGAAUGUACAAAGCGGGGCACAUGUAAGCGCAUUAAGCCAAAUCACAGAACAUGCUUAGCCCCAGAUUUUGAAUAAUGUUUUGCGUCGAUAAACUCAAUAUCAGACAAUAAAUCUCCGAGCGCUGCAAGAUCAAAAGUGA